AUGAAGCCGGAAUCGCUAGUAAUCGCGGAUCAGAAUGCCGCGGUGAAUACGUUCCCGGGUCUUGUACACACCGCCCGUCACACCAUGGAGUCGGGAAUGCCCGAAGUCAGUGACCCAACCUUAGGGAGGGAGCUGCCGAAGGCAGGCCUGGUGACUGGGGUGAAGUCGUAACAAGGUAUC
rnacentral:rRNA from 1 species